rnacentral:rRNA from 1 species
AUUGAACGCUGGCGGCAGGCCUAACACAUGCAAGUCGAGCGGAUGAAGGGAGCUUGCUCCUGGAUUCAGCGGCGGACGGGUGAGUAAUGCCUAGGAAUCUGCCUGGUAGUGGGGGAUAACGUCCGGAAACGGGCGCUAAUACCGCAUACGUCCUGAGGGAGAAAGUGGGGGAUCUUCGGACCUCACGCUAUCAGAUGAGCCUAGGUCGGAUUAGCUAGUUGGUGGGGUAAAGGCCUACCAAGGCGACGAUCCGUAACUGGUCUGAGAGGAUGAUCAGUCACACUGGAACUGAGACACGGUCCAGAAUCCUACGGGAGGCAGCAGUGGGGAAUAUUGGACAAUGGGCGAAAGCCUGGUCCAGCCAUGCCGCGUGUGUGAAGAAGGUCUUCGGAUUGUAAAGCACUUUAAGUUGGGAGGAAGGGCAGUAAGUUAAUACCUUGCUGUUUUGACGUUACCAACAGAAUAAGCACCGGCUAACUUCGUG